rnacentral:rRNA from 1 species
GACGAACGCUGGCGGCGUGCUUAACACAUGCAAGUCGAACGGAAAGGCCCUGCUUUUGUGUUCUGCUCGAGUGGCGAACGGGUGAGUAACACGUAAGUAACCUGCCCUGUACUUUGGGAUAACUUCAGGAAACGAUGGCUAAUACCGGAUAGGAGCUCCUGCUGCAUGGUGUGUGUUGGAAAGUUGCGGCGGUUUCGGUUGGACUUGCGGCUGAUCAGCUUUUUGGUGUCGGUGUGGAGUACACAGGCUUUGACGGGCAGCCAGCCUGAGAGGGUGACCGGCCACAUUGGGCUUGAGAUACGGGCAAGACGGCAACGGGAGCCAGCGGUGGGAAACAGUGCAAAAUGGGCCGAAGGAGGAUAGAAGAAUGUCGGGUGGGGGAUGACGGUCUUAGGGGUGUAAAGAGCUUUAGCGUGUGAAGAAGAGUGAGUGACGGUAACGGACCAAGAAGGAACGGCUAACUACGUG